GCCACCAUAGCUCAGAGGCUAGAGCAUUGGUCUCGUAAACCAGGGGUCGCGAGUUCGAAUCUCAAUGGUGGCU
rnacentral:tRNA from 13 species